GUUUCACUGCCCGAGUUGUAAUCUAGAGAAGUGUUGCUCACACUGGACCAUGUAUAAGUCUUCUGGAAUGAAGCGUCAUAGAGGGUGAGAAUCCCGUCUUUGACAUGGACUCCCCAGUGUAAUUGUAGCAUGCUCUCAAAGAGUCGAGUUGUUUGGGAAUGCAGCUCUAAAUGGGUGGUAACCUCCAUCUAAAGCUAAAUAUUGGCGAGAGACCGAUAGUGAACAAGUACCGUGAGGGAAAGAUGAAAAGAACUUUGGAAAGAGAGUUAAACAGUACGUGAAAUUGUUGAAAGGGAAACGCUUGAAGUCAGUCACAUUAGCCAGGGAUCAACUUUCUUAAGUGUACUUCCUGGCUGAUGGGCCAAUAUCAGCUUUGACUGUCAGAGAAGGGUAGAGGGAAUGUGGCACCCUUCUUGGGUGUGUUAUAGACCUCUGUUAUAUAUGGCAGUUGGGGCUGAGGAAUGCAGCGCGCCGCAAGGCCGGGGCUUUGACCACGUCCGCGCUUAGGAUAUUGGCAUAAUGGCUUUAAUCGACCCGUCUUGAAACACGGACCAAGGAGUCUAACAUGCCUGCGAGUAUUUGGGUGGAAAACCCGAGUGCAUAAUGAAAGUGAAAGUUGAGAUCCCUGUCAUGGGGUGCAUCGACGCCCGGACCUGAGCUUUUAAGCAAUGGCUCUGCGGUAUAGCAUGUAUGUUGGGACCCGAAAGAUGGUGAACUAUGCCUGAAUAGGGCGAAGCCAGAGGAAACUCUGG
rnacentral:rRNA from 1 species